UAGGACUUCUGCCAGCUGAAGAUACAAGAAGUCUUCACCCCAAAGAGGGCUCUCAUCUGACCACACAGGCACCCUGAUCUUGAACUCCUAGAAAUAACUGGGAAAUAUGAACACACUCCCCCACUACCACAAAUUAUGCGGUCAAGUUUCCCACAUUUGGGGGAAUUUCAGGGGUAAGCAUAUCCAGAGUGCAAUGAAUAAGGCUUGCUGUAGGAAAAUCACCUUCGUGAUCAUGGUAUCUCCCCUGCCAGCAAGGAAAGACAAGGUUUGGAAGUUGCAAGAGGGAGCAUGGAAGGCACCAAGCUUUGGGACAUGUAGGAUACGGAAACCAAGAAGAACCACUUGAAAGGACUGCAAGGACCAUGGCAUCAGCAAAGUACAGCCAGCUGCUAUGUAUUACAUCAGGGAAAAUUUUCAAUGAACCUUCAAUUACUUGCAUUCUACUCUGUUGACUAUACAGGUUUUCCCAGUCUUGCCAUAGGGAAUCUCAGAAUAUAUCACUGGGUAGAUUCACACAGUAACACAGGGAGGGGAAAACAAGGCUCGGUUUUGAAAGAGACAUUUCAGAUGUUCUA